GAUGAAGAACGCAGCGAAAUGCGAUAAGUAGUGUGAAUUGCAGAAUUCAGUGAAUCAUCGAAUCUUUGAACGCACAUUGCGCCCUAUGGUAUUCCGUAGGGCAUGCCUGUUCGAGCGUCAUUCAAACCUUCAAGCUCUGCUUGGUGUUGGGCGUCUGUCCUGCCUCACGGCGCGGACUCGCCUCAAAUCUAUUGGCGGCCGGCACGUUGGCUUCGAGCGCAGCAGAAACGCGAACUCGAGACCGGCGGAUCGGCUCCCAGAAGCUACCCCCAUGGAUUUGACCUCGGAUCAGGUAGGGAUACCCGCUGAACUUAAGCAUAUCAAUAAGCGGAGGA
rnacentral:misc_RNA from 1 species